UCACAUGAUGCGGUAAUUUGCGAUUGACCCAGUAUCUGUGAAACUCUCGCCGGAGUCUUCAAUACAGUACUGUCGCAUGAUAUUCAACUUCUUACAUAUUCUGAUA
rnacentral:snoRNA from 1 species